CACUUAAUCAUGCUCGCACUAUAUACAGUGAAUUGGCAAUGGAGAUCAAUUCAAGUUGAAUCAGUUUUAAGUAACGAUGGGAGGUGUUACUCAUUUAGCUUCAUGUUUUAAAACGGACCAAAGGUGGAUUCUCAUCUCAUGUCAAUUGCUAUAUAUCCAGGUGGUAAAAACUUGGUCGUCCAUGCCUCCACAAUGAAAUAGGUUUAAAUCCUUGAUUAUAUCAACAUGAGAAUCUUGUUGGAGGUUAGUAUUUUUAAUAUAUCUAUAAGCAUUAUAUUAUUUGAGUUGUGAGGUAUAUCUUGAUCUUAGUGUUUUUUAAUCCUAACUUCCAUGUUUUACAACCGAAAAAAGGGCAAUGUAUCCCCUUUACUAAGUAACAUGUAAUUAAAUGCCAUUAUGCUUUUAAUUUUCUCUGAGCCAUGAAGAUUGUCUUGUUUCUAACAUUUUCCUGGUGCUAAGUCACUAAUAAAACCAUUAUUUAAUUUGGAAAGGACGAGUUGGGGCUAAAUCUUAGUUUCAUCCCCAAGUGCUCACUUAAUGGAUCACAAAUCUACAUAUAUAUGGGCUUCACAAGUAAUUGAAAGGUCUUGCAUAUAAGACUUGCACUUUCAUGUGGAUGCUAGAUUUUUGUUUUUGAAAGGAAUCAAUUACAAUCAUGCAUAUAUACUUGUCAAGAAAGAGUGUGGCUCUGAGCCCCAAAUUUCUGUUCAUUUGAAAUAUUUUAUAGAACUAUGAGCUUUUUUAUAUCUCAAAACUAGUUUGGGUCUCAUGCAUUCAAUGAAGUGUUACAAAUAUGUCAUAUUUUCAUAGUCCAUGAAUACUGCGACUUACAGAUAAAUAACUAACCUGCUUAUGAAAGUUUAACCAUUGCAGCUCAAAGUGGGGAAAUUUAGUCAAUUACUAAUUAAUUAAUUAUACCAAUUAAUUACAAGAUAUGCAUGCCAAAAAUUAUUUAGACUUUCAAGAUUAGAAAGCUGAACUAAAUUUAGAUUAUUGAGGAUUUAGAGGAGCUCAAAAUAUAAAAUAUUUUUAGAAAGUGAUCAUUUAGCUUCCUUAAUUUGCUUAGUAAUUGUUCUUAAUUAAAGGUGACAUAUGGUAGCCAAUUGCUUACUUUAAUAGCAAGUCCCUUAUGAAAUCAAUUCAAGCAUUAUUCUUCCAAUAGCCCAAUAAAUCCCUAAUUUAGUUAUGUGUAAUUAAUAAGUGGGUAUUUGUCUCAUUAAUAAAACUGACAACUUAGUAUCUCAAAUAUAACGUACUCACCUGUAAUUACUCAAAUCCCUAAUAUUUGAUCAAUAACUCACAGUUGAGAGCCUUAUGGGUGAACUCUAUAAGUACUCAUUGAGUCUGGAAGUAUGACUUAGCUUGGUGAGCCUUUGAGACCCACAACUCACCAAACAUUUUUCUGCUAAAAAAAAAUUAAUCUUGUAUAUAAAAUUAACCUAACUGAGAAAGAUCUGUCCACUGCCCUCUAUACAAAAAAUUGGCAAAGGAUAAUAAUAUUACAUCACUUGAUGAAAGUAUUAUUAUUUUAAUAUUUUAAUUAAAAUAUUAAUAGUUAUUUAAUUUUCAUAAUUUUUAUUUGUUGACUUCUAAUGUGAUAAGUGAAAAUAUGUAGAAAGUAGAUAAUUAAUAAAAGUUACCACCUAUAGUGUAGUUAAUCUUUUUCAUAAUUUACAUCAUUUAGUUUAUUUCUUUAUUUAAUAUUUCUAUACUAACUUAAAUAAUAAUUAUUUGCGUUUAAGGGAAAAUUUGUCUCAAGUUUUUCACUAGACGCAAUUGGCAUCCUUAUCUUUCGACCAGUGAGCGCAAUAGAACUCAAGAAUUUUAAAAUAUAGUGAUAACUAAUGCCCUAUAGCAACGUUUAACAACAUUGAUUAUUAGUUGAACAGUUCUAAAAAUUAAAAAGCGAUUGUGCUAAUUAAGUUUGUUUUGAGGAGCAAUUAAUAUUCUAAACUUUUAAUUGGAAUAAUUUUUCCCCACAAUGGAUAAGUGGUAAGGGAAUCCUUAAAAAAAUUUCCAUCAAGCGGCAAGUAAAAUCCUUACACACAAUUUAAAUACACAAAUUGAGUAUUGCAAGUUGUCAAGUGAACUUAUUGCUACAAUUCACAAAAGUUCAGUCCAAAUCACUUUUAUUCAUCCCUCCCACCUUAGACUAUUUUAUAUUGCCCAGGGUCGGUUCGAGCAAGUCUGUAUUUACUCAUGGUUAAGCCUAGGCAAGCCCAGACUUGUUUGUAGACACAUGUUUUGACUUAGCUUGUUCAUGGGCAAAAUAAGUGCAAGUCCGAUCUAGAUUUUGUUCAGAGAUAAGUUCAUGAGACACUUUAGUAGAGUUGAUUUUGUAGUCAAUCAACCUCUGACAUGGCUUUUAGUCAAAAUUUGAGAAUACAAAACCAUUGUUUUUAACAUUGAUAAUAAGUUGUUGGAUCCUUCUUCUAAUUUAAACGUUGAUACAACACAAAAAUAUUCUAUUAAUAAAAGGCUUAUGAUAUCAAUUGUUGAUUCAUAAAAACUUCACAAAUAAAAUUGUCCUUUAUAACCUUCAUAAUUAUUCAACUAAUGAUGUUAAAUGUUAUUGCAUGACAACAUUGUACCAAUUUCAAAAUUUUCAAGAUAUUAUUACAUUAAUCAUAAGUUAUCAAUUGUACUUAGGUGGAACACUUGGACAAAUUUACCAUUAACCCUUGUUAUUUUAAGACAAUGAGAUGAGAAAUUUUAUUUUAAGCGGUGGACGAGCCUGGCACAAAAAUAUUGAUGAGAUCAGAGCGGGGUUCAAUACUGGCUACAAAUAUGUUUUGUACAGGUGAUCAUGCAACAUGUCCCACUCUAAAAGCUGCCACGUGUUUAAAGGCAUUCUCGUGAUGCCACGUGGUGCUUGUUCGGCAAAGACCGUUCGCCGCCUCGCCACAACCAGAGUUUCGUAAGUGCGAAUCCCCUGCUUUGUUCUCAGCCUGCACAACAUUCUUGUAGGAACGUGGUACUAUUUUAUUGGACCAAUCUUACUUAACCAAAAACUUACAAAAGAAAACAUUUUGUAUAACGUUCUAAAUUUAAAUAGUAAUAUAUAAAACUAUAAUUAUAUGUUUGUUUUGGUUUUAUAUGUUUCCACGGAACACAUACAAGGGGAAAAAAACUCUAAACCCAAACUCUUCAUGAAAAUAUAGUAUUAAUUGAGAAGUUAAGACAUGUUAAUUCUAAAUUUGAAUUAUGGGGAUUAUCGUUAAAAUUAAAGGAUUUGCUCUCGAGUUAGAGAAAAACAAAAAAUGCGUGAUAUAAAAAUUAGGAUAGCAAAUUUGAGAAUGUUAAGAUGAAUUCUUACUCGUACAAAAGAAAAGACAAGAUCUCAACUGCACACCAGGAAAAGUUAAUUAACAUGAUCAACAAAAGUUAUUUAUGGUUUUUUUUUAUCAUAAAAGUUAUUUAUGUUUGCUAGAGAUGUAAUAAUAUAUAUUCUGCGAUAUAUGUAAUCAUUCUUACUUAAUGAGAAAAAACUUAUUAUUGUGGUCUUCUAGACUUUGCUCAUUGUGAUUAAAACAAAUAUGCAUCGUAUCGAUUCUCGUGAUGAGACAAUAUAUAUACAUAUAUUGAACGGAUAGGCCGUCAACUUAGUACGUAGGGCGCACGGUAAUAGCGUGUACCGCGAAACAUGGAAUCAAAAUUCGACUGUUUCAAAGAUCUUACAGGAAUUUUGCGUCGGGGCUGAAUCGAACUGGACCGGACUUGGCUUUGGAAGAAGAGAGAUGAAUCAAAUCGAGACGCGCCGCGCGUGCAGAAAACGCACCUUGAGGAUACUGAGCUGCUAAUUAGUUCCUUUAGAUUCAUUUCAUAAUCUUCUUAUAUGUGAUUCGAUCUGCAAGUAUCUGAUCGUCCUCAAUUUUUCUCUUCUUUUUUUUUGGGUGAUUUUAUUGGGAUUAAUGUUUUUUUUUUCUCAGUAGGCCUAUUUGUAAUAAUUUGAAAUCGAAGAUGUAAUUGGAAAUUUGGUUUCGUAUU